rnacentral:lncRNA from 1 species
UUGGGGACUAAAUAAUUGUCAAUCGGUCUCUACAGGAAGACAAUCCCUGAACAGUAUCCUUCCUCCCCAGCUUCACUUCCUAUCGUAUAGGUGCAGGUGUGCCUUACUGAAGAGGUCUUUUCUACCUGGAGGAUCUCUAAGCCAUUGGAGAGGCUCAGUUCCUGGUAUUCCUUCCAAAUGACUACAUGGCUGAAUUUACUGAUGACGAGGAGGUUAACAUUCUGUGUUGAGUCCCAGGUAGGAGUAUUAUGAAAUUAGUCCAUCAGGAGCUGAGCAGAGCUUAGCUCAUUCAUACAUUGCAGAUGAGAGAGAGAAAGAGAUCCACAGAUAGGGAAGGGUCCCAAUCCCCC